rnacentral:rRNA from 1 species
CGGUGUUUAACUGGCGUGAUGUGGGACGUCCUACCGGUGGGCUUAGCCUCGCGAGGGGCGGCCCAACUAAUAUCCCGUCGCGGUGCUCUUUACUGAGUGUCGAGUCGGGCCGGUACGUUUACUUUGAACAAAUUAGAGUGCUUAAAGCAGGCUAUCCUCGCCUGAAUACUGCGUGCAUGGAAUAAUGGAAUAGGACCUCGGUUCUAUUUUGUUGGUUUUCGGAACCCCGAGGUAAUGAUUAAUAGGGACAGAUGGGGGCAUUCGUAUUGCGACGUUAGAGGUGAAAUUCUUGGAUCGUCGCAAGACGGACAGAAGCGAAAGCAUUUGCCAAAAAUGUUUUCAUUAAUCAAGAACGAAAGUUAGAGGUUCGAAGGCGAUCAGAUACCGCCCUAGUUCUAACCAUAAACGAUGCCAGCUAGCGAUCCGCCGAAGUUCCUCCGAUGACUCGGCGGGCAGCUUCCGGGAAACCAAAGCUUUUGGGUUCCGGGGGAAGUAUGGUUGCAAAGCUGAAACUUAAAGGAAUUGACGGAAGGGGCACCACCAGGAGUGGAGCCUGCGGCUUAAUUUGACUCAACACGGGAAACCUCACCAGGCCCAGACACCGGAAGGAUUGACAGAUUGAUAGCUCUUUCUUGAUCCGUGGGUGGGUGGUGCAUGGGCCGUUCUUAGUUGGUGGAGCGAUUUGUCUGGUUAAUUCCGAUAACGAACGAGACUCUAGCCUGCUAAAUAGGCGUACCUUAUGGUAUCGCGAAGGCCCCCGCCUUCGGCCGGUGGGUUUUUACUACCAACGUACAAACAAAUCUUCUUAGAGGGACAGGCGG